UACGUAGGGGGCAAGCGUUGUCCGGAAUCAUUGGGCGUAAAGAGCGCGUAGGUGGCCCGAUAAGUCCGCUGUGAAAGUCAAGGGCUCAACCCUUGAAUGCCGGUGGAUACUGUCGGGCUAGAGUCCGGAAGAGGCGAGUGGAAUUCCUGGUGUAGCGGUGAAAUGCGCAGAUAUCAGGAAGAACACCCGUGGCGAAGGCAGCUCGCUGGGACGUUACUGACGCUGAGACGCGAAAGCGUGGGGAGCAAACAGG
rnacentral:rRNA from 1 species